AGUAUGUAGGAUCUAAGUUCUCAAAUGGAUUUUGCCCUCUUGAAAAUAAGAAGCCCAUAAACUCGCUUAGAAUACACUUGAUAUAUCUAGGAAUGGUUUACUUUUAAGUUAAUCCUUGGAAUUGGAUAGCUCAGCCAACAUUCAAUUUUUUAUUUCCAAAUUAAUAGGAGGCUGAAUUGGUUGACUUGGUGACUGGUGAUUUAUACCUCUUGGAUUUGUUUUCAGGUGAAAGGAUGGUUUAGUUCGUCACAGAGGAGCAAACUUUGGAACGAUUCUCCCUCUUAUAUGUAAGAGGAUUGUGCAGCAGUUUAAGGAAUCAUAUAAGUGAUAUCAGGACAGUGCAGCCAACUUUUGCCCCAGUAAAGGGGAUCUUUCAGAGGAUUCCCUAUUCCUGUCGCUCUUCCCGGUUGUGGUAUCCUGGCGGUGCUGAGGAUGUACAGCAGCUUGUGAACAGUUUGUUUUCAGCCAAACAACGAAGGAGAUGAGCUAUGAGGAAGGGGGAAUAAACACAAUUUUCUACCUUUACCACUUGGACAUAGUUCACGUGAUAACCUGAUGACAGCUUUGUCCAUCACAUCUACUGGGAUACGUACGAGCUUGUGAAAUGGCUUGAGGAACAGGAAUCAGUUCAGAGAAUCAACUGAUAACGUGGAAAGAAAAAGUCAUCUUUUUGUUCCUUUGCUUUAUUAUUUUUCAUUAAGCUUCUUACUUUGAGGCAAUUAUAAAUUCACAUAAUUAAAAGAAACGCUAUAGAGA